AAAAUAUGCCUCUGAAGAAGCUUGGGUUGGUUGGUAGGGACAUCUGAGAGCUGAUGAAUGCCAAAUGCUUUGACUGCAGAGU